rnacentral:rRNA from 1 species
CCUACGGGAGGCAGCAGUGGGGAAUUGUUCGCAAUGGGCGCAAGCCUGACGACGCAACGCCGCGUGGAGGAUGAAGACCUUCGGGUCGUAAACUCCUUUCGAUCGAGACGAAUGUUUUCCGGGUGAACAAUCCGGAAAAGUGACGGUACCGAGAGAAGAAGCCCCGGCUAACUCUGUGCCAGCAGCCGCGGUAAUACAGGGGGGGCAAGCGUUGUUCGGAAUUACUGGGCGUAAAGGGCUUGUAGGUGGCCAACUAAGUCAGACGUGAAAUCCCUCAGCUUAACUGGGGAACUGCGUCUGAUACUGGAUGGCUUGAGUUUGGGAGAGGGAUGCGGAAUUCCAGGUGUAGCGGUGAAAUGCGUAGAUAUCUGGAGGAACACCGGUGGCGAAGGCGGCAUCCUGGACCAACACUGACACUGAGGAGCGAAAGCCAGGGGAGCAAACGGGAUUAGAUACCCCGGUAGUCCUGGCCCUAAACGAUGAAUGCUUGGUGUGGCGGGUAUCGAUCCCUGCCGUGCCGAAGCUAACGCAUUAAGCAUUCCGCCUGGGGAUCGGUCGCAAGGCUGAAACUCAAAGGAUUGACGGCUGAACUGCGACGAGCACAGGAGGUUAG